GUUCGGGUCCGGGCCCCUCUGACGGCUGAGGCGUCAGCCGUGAUGUCGGAUACCGCUUGA
rfam:Azospirillum brasilense Sp245 main chromosome complete genome